ACUCUGUCGUUUUAUUUCAUUUGAGAUGAGCUGUGAGACACAGAAGGGAUUGUACCGGUUGUACAAGAUCGCAGUUUUGUUUGGUCGGAGUAGAGGCAGAUGGUGUUGCUUUAGGAAGCGGCUGUUCUAGUCUCCUAGAGGCGUGAAGGUUCAGAGAUGGUGCUCAGAUUAAUCUAGAAAAUAGGUAAAUGGUCACAGAGUUCGGUUGCUGGAGGACUGACUAGGAAGGGAACAUGUCAUGCUUAAAGAGGUUUUCAACCAUCAUUUUACAAAAUAUUAAAAUAGAAUUUAAGAGAAUUAAAUACAUGCUUAUUUGUCAUUUUCUUUAUAAAUGGGAGAAUUAUUUUGGAAUAAAUUUUUUACUAAUAUGAACAAAAUGUAAACACUGUAAAGAUCUCUCUCU